ensembl:lncRNA
UGGAUGAUUUUUAAGGACCAUUCCAACCCAACCCAGUCCAUGAUACUCUGGGAAUCCUUUGGGAUUGUGAUUUGCACUCCAUUCCUCCUGGGAGAGCCGGGCCUGGGCUGGAAUCCUGGCACACAAUCCAUGAACCAUCCCUCACAUCCUGCUCCAGCCUGAUUGUUUGGGAUGGGCCCUUGUCUUCUGUACUCCUCACUGUACAAAUCUGCUGCUGGGGAUGGAAUUAUUCAUCUCCCUGGCCCAGAAAGCAUUAAUGGGACACAAAUAAUGGGCUGAUUUUCCACAGCACUCCUGAAGAUGAAUGGCCUUCCUAAUCCUUAUUUUAUCUGGGAAGAGUUGAAGCGUAGUGAAUUGAAGGUCUGAAGAUCCCUCUCUGUGCACUCCCAGGCCUUGCUUAGCAUUCUAUGGGCAGAUUCCUGAAGAUUGGAUGAGCUGAUCCCCCCUUGCAGUGGCAGCUGUGGGACGUGCAAUCUCCAGGGGUGCAACCAGGGCCCCUCAGGAGAGCCUGGAGAUGGUGCCAGUGACUUCUCUGGAGCUCUGGAUGUCGCUGCCACCUUCCCCUCAAACAGCCAGGGAAGAGAUUGGAAGGAGAGGUGGGAAGAGCUGAACCAUGCACAGAACAUUCCCUGAAUCCUCCCUGCAGGUGCUGCUGGUUGAUUUUUAUGUUUCCUGGGUUCCCUGUAGAUGGGCUGCUCCAGCCUCAGCGAUGAUCCCAGCUUUCUGGGUUGACUGUGGAAGUUCCAUCGCUCCUGCUGGUGCCGUUCCCAAAGUCCUGCCCGUGCUUCCCCAUUUGUUGCCUGCAAUUAGCUGUGAGGAGAUAAGACAGGUGUCACUAACGUUCAGACAGAGGAGAAGGAAGCAGCAAUUUGCAUAAAUUAAUUAAGAAACUGACCUCGUUCCCCAGCACUCCUCGGAGACGAAGCCAAACCCCCCAGUUUAUCAAACCAACACCAGAUUUGACACCUGAAUUGAGCUCUCCCCAAACCACACAACAAAAUUAAUCCCCAGCAGAAGCCACCACAAUCCCCUCCCUUCAGUCAUUUAUUUUUUCAGCCGUCCCAGCGAUUUAUUUUUAAACAUAUCAGGACGUUAUGUUCCGUGACAUUUCCCAUCCACACAACACCAUAUGUAUUGGCAAGUGAUUCCUCCUGGAAACUGCGGGCUCGUGGAUGCAGGAAGAGCUGGCAGCUCGCUGCUCCCACCCCUUUUGGGGCUGUGCCCUCAUUGUUUCAUGGCCAUGCUUUGAUUGGAGAGAGCCGAGUGACUGCUUUGGAAAAUCAGAGAGAUUGGGUUUUUCUGGGAGUGUUGGAGGCCACUCCUUUACUCUGAGAGCCUUGCAGGGUGCUGGGCAUGGAAUGCUGUAUUCCAGAGCUGCCUUUUGGGGUUGGAGGAAUGGCUGGAAGGUGCAGAGAGCAGGUUCUGUGUGAGCCCUGCCACCCCCACUAAGAGAUUUCUGUGCUUCUCCAACCAGCACAGCCUGAGGACAGCAGUCACCAGUUCAGGGCGCAUCUCUGGAAUGGUUUGGAUU